CAGAGCAUGUGCAAUAUGACAAGAAAUACAGAAGGGAAAUAACAGUGCAAGAACAAAUCCAAAACGAAAUGAAAACAUUUUGUGCAUUAAACACAAUCAGUGAAAAACUUUUGACUGCACCAUAUACAGGCGGGAUUCCCUGGGAAGAACUACAUGUGAGGAGCAUGUACAAUUCACUGGUUUUGAGAGGAAAGGAAAAACGAAAAUAACAGCAAAGACGUGAAAUAAGCUCAGGCACAAUUAAUCUGAAUUGCGCCCUGCAUGGUCGCCUCCUUCAGCUCGCCUUUCCACUGUUUGAAAAUUAACCUAAAGUUCAGAUGGUAAUUAAGGCUUAUUAUACAUGGAAUUCAAACGUAUCUCCAUUAAUUGAUUCAUGGAAUUACUAAGAUAAAAACAAUAUUUACUUUGCCUGGUAGUUUUACUGCUCCGCAGUGUAGCCAAAUUUUCUGUGGGCCCAUGUACUGUAGCCAAAUAUUAUGGCCCCACACCGUUAAAACAGGCCUCUGUUCAAAAAUAAAAUAAAAUAGAGCUGCUCUCCAUGCAGUCCUUUUAAUCAGUAUUCAAAGCCAGAUAGGCAGAAACGUGAUUAAGCUCCAAGUUAAGAGCACAAACAACACUUACUACUGUUCAGCAAAGUGACGCGUAUUCAAUUACCAAACGCGGGCAAAAUUUUUCAAUUUUAAAUUCCAUCACAUUUCAUAUUAAAGCAAUUAUAAAUACAUGGUCCUCAGCAACCACGAUAUCCAAUUUCAUAACUGCACUCUGGAGCUAGCAAGUUUUGAGGCAAACAAGGUCGUUUGACAACAACAUAAAUGAUAUCUCUUGGCAUUUUCCAUCUUCAGUUAGGACACUAGCUGCAAACUGAUGCAUUGAGUGAAUAAAGUUUUUCAAUUUUUUACUUUUAUUAAGGCACCAUUAUCUGAGUCUAUUGACUGAUUAUCUGGUUAAAGCGUCAGCAUUAGCAUAGAAUAUGCUUUCUACUUUGAUCCAUUGUACCAUUUCGAUUUCUCAAGACGCAACCCAAAAAGGUUGGUUACCGUUACAUUUCUUGGGUAGAAGUUUGAAUGUCAGAAAGCAACUAGCAUGAUAACAGGUUUUUUAAAGCUUUUCCACCAAAGUCAAUUGGUAUCUUUAAUGCAUUCAAGGACCAUCCAUGUGACCUAUUAAAAUUCAAAAGCUAAUGUGAUCCGGCACAAUAUGUAGGCAUGAAAUUGAAUAAAGGGGAAAUUGUUGACAAGUCAAAUGUUGUCAUAGCUCAAAAUUAUUACUAAGCAACAAGCAAGAGAGGAAGGGGAGGAGCCCACAAUUUUCAAACAACCAGGUAUCUGCACAGGGUGAUCCAAGUGAUUAAUUUCAUCAGAUAAGAGACAAUGCAUUAUAUUUCUUGAUUUCAGCAACUAUUGACAGAGAAGAACCAUAUAGAAAUUAAACAGGUACCAUUUACUAGACUUUGAACUGUUAUUCCAAUUCUCUCUCUCUCUCCAUGAAAGCAAUAUAGAAAAAAACAAAACAAAGGUCACAGAGGGAAUGGGAAUGAGGGCAUUAGAAAAAACCUCAGCAUCCGAGGUUGCAUAAAACCAACCAAAUAUUUACAAAAUGUGCAGGAAUUACUUAGAAAAUAUUUUUCUAUUGCUUAAAAUUCAAGUAACUUUUUAAAACAGUAUCCACUUUAAAAAGAGCAUCCUCCUUUAUCUGUAAAACAUUAUUGCAGAUCUUUCCAUACUAUUAUUAUUGGCAAAUAUUUAAAGUAACCAAUGAAUAAACACCAAAAACAAAUGUACCUGAUG
rnacentral:misc_RNA from 1 species